rnacentral:rRNA from 1 species
GAUGAACGCUGGCGGCGUGCCUAAUACAUGCAAGUCGAGCGAACGGACGAGAAGCUUGCUUCUCUGAUGUUAGCGGCGGACGGGUGAGUAACACGUGGAUAACCUACCUAUAAGACUGGGAUAACUUCGGGAAACCGGAGCUAAUACCGGAUGAUAUUUUGAACCGCAUGGUUCAAAAGUGAAAGACGGUCUUGCUGUCACUUAUAGAUGGAUCCGCGCUGCAUUAGCUAGUUGGUAAGGUAACGGCUUACCAAGGCAACGAUGCAUAGCCGACCUGAGAGGGUGAUCGGCCACACCGGAGCGGAGACACGGUCCAGACUCCUACGGGAGGCAGCAGUAGGGAAUCUGCCGCAAUGGGCGAAAGCCUGACGGAGCAACGCCGCGUGAGUGAUGAAGGUCUUCGGAUCGUAAAACUCUGUUAUUAGGGAAGAACAUAUGUGUAAGUAACUGUGCACAUCUUGACGGUACCUAAUCAGAAAGCCACGGCUAACUACGUG